UAUCUUCGGGGCGGGGUGAAAUUCCCCACCGGCAGUAAAGUCUGCGAGCAAAAGCAAAUAAAAAAUUUAAAGCUUAAAAAUACAUUAAAGAUUUACGGUUUUGGUUUUGGGUUUGUUGAACGGGUGCAAUUCCCGUACCGACGGUAUAGUCCGGAUGGAAGAAGAA
rnacentral:ncRNA from 1 species